UUCCGGUAGCCUCGGAUUUCAAAGGGACUUGGUGGCGGAGCUGAGAGCUUGGUGGCAUCCUAAAAGGACGCAAAGGUGGCGCAGCUGCUUUGCUGUGAGGGACGCUGACUUCCCGCAGAUGUAGGGAAUUUUUAUUUUAAUUCUCCAAGUUGUAACUGUGACUGAGACUUCAUCCCACGGAAGGCAUCGCUGGACCCGAGGUUCCUGACAGGAAAAAUUGCCUCAGCCUUUGGGUGCCGACUGUCGCGUCUCUCCGUCCCCUUUAGUUUAAAUAUAUGAAUCGCAGUCGUUGUGUGUGACUUACAGAACGAAGGAAAAGAAUCCUGUCCGCAGGGCCGGGACUGUCACAGUUAAGGUCGAAGGGCGAGUGAUGCGCCUGCGUCUGGCUUAGGGGAUUUGGGGGCACCGAGAGAAACGCAGCCUGCGGCCACCUCCCUAUCUCUGACAGUUUAUUAAUCAGCGUCCUGGGCUGUUAGAAAAGAACCCAUAUGUUAAUGUCAGUGGAGUCUUAGUUCUAGACUCGUAAAAUGCCGAGGCAAAGAAGGAGUGGUUGGCUGGCAACCCACAGGAAAAACUAAGCGAUUUUUGCCUUAAUGACUGCAAAAUGAAGCGCUUUAGAGUUGGUUCCUUUACUUAUACGUGGCCUAUACUUACACAUGAAGGUCAUGAAUAGGGACCCUUGUAAAUUUCUGGACUUAAACUAGCUUAUCUCAAAGGCUCCAGGUAACUGAAACAAGAACAGAAGCGUUCGAGUGGACUGUACAAUUCCGGAGAGAAAGUUUUCAGCAUCUUUGAUACGACAAGGCAUCUCUGUGAGACCAACUUCUUAGGAAUUAUAAAAUCCUAUAAAGUCCAGAAAUACAGAUUGUGUUAAUAUGCCCUAAUGAAGAGCACGUUGGAAAAGAGUUAAUCUAGCCUUCACGUGCCCCUUGGGGUGUAAUAACUGCUGCUCUACCUCUCCAGUUGUUUCAGGGGCCACUUGACAAUGCAAGAGAAAUAUAAAGCACUGUCCUGAUUGCCUCCUUUUUGAAAUAAGUGCAGUGGAUAUUUCAGCUUCCUUAGGCCUCUUUAUUUUUUUAUCUUUUGUACCAGGAAUCAAACUCAUGACCUUGAGCUUGCCAGGCAAACACACACACCACCACCGAACUAAUCCCCAACAGGCCUUUUAAAUUCAAAAAAAUAAAACUUUAGUAGCGCCAGAGACAGAAUUUCUUCUGGCAUGCUGAUCUCUCUGGAUAUACACAAAUAUCCAGUUCGUAUGGUUUAUUACUGAGAGACUGCUCAUUCUGAGUCUUUAGACAAAUUCUUUAGACUCAUUCUAGUCUUUAGACCAAUACUAGAUGCUGCCUACCCUUAUAGGAACUAAACAUUUUUGGCUUCACUAACUCAUUUUCAGCUGUGUCUGAUGGUGAGUCCAUCGAUAAUUAGGAAAUAUUGAUUGAGCAACCAUCACAAACUAGGUGCUGUUGGACUUAUAUCUGAUUACAACGGAACUUGUUCUUAAGAAACUAUUGAUUUCAUCGAGGAUGUGAAGAUACAGAAUCAGAAAACUUUAAAAGUAGAAUAUGUGUAUUUUGAGAGCCAAAUGAGAGUUCGCCCCUUCUCCAAAAAGGGAAAGGGUUGGCGUGGUGUUAAUGAAGUUCUUCAGCUGUUCUUUGUCAUGGAAGUAUCGUAUUUCACCAUCGAUUUUGAAAGAUACCUCAGAUUUGUAAAUACAGUCUGCUGAGAUUUUUGAAGACCUAAGCUGCCACAUCUCUGAUAUAUCAGGACGGGAAGACUGAAGACAGGACGUCAGGGAAGAAGGUGACAGUGGAGUGACACUGCUACAAGCCAAGGAAUGCCAAAGCCUCCUGGGAGCUACAGGAACCUAGGAAGAGGCAAGCAAAGAUUCUUUUUCAGAAAUAAGAUACUGCUGACACUUUGAUUUUACACUUUAAUCCAGAUUUUUGAAAUAAUUUGCUUCUGAUAAUCAGUUUUUGCUGUUUACUCUGCCAGCGUUGUGUCAUUUAUAUGGCAGAAAAUGAGUACAGGGUUAUAACAUCCAGUCAAGCCAA